AUAUCCAUAAAAAUAGAAAACAGAGAAAACAAAGGAUAUUCCAAAAAUGAGUGGAAAACUCACUAACAUUACUUUAGCCCGUAAAAUAGCUUUUCUUUCAAAAUCAUUUAAGCACAUGUCAUAUAUACAUAGUUGUUUAGAUAUAAUUUAGUAUCAUUAUCUUUAAACUUGUGUCGGCAAGGAUCAUUCCUUUUACAUAGGACCAUCAGUAAGUACAGGUUUUGGACAUAACAUAACUUUCAUUCGUGUGGGAUUAAUUCCCCAUUUCAUUAACAUACUUUCCUCCACCUGUAACUCACCUUUACCACGUUCAGUUCAUUUUCCAAUGCCGAUAAAAAAUAACAUCGUAUCAUAUUAAAUCAUUUCUAAACAAAUUUAUACCUCAUACAAAUGCAUAGUACACUAGCACAUUUCCAUAACGUUGUAAUAAAAUAAUCACUGUUAAACAUUUAACAGGGGCAUAACAAAUCACAUUCACAUAUCUUAUAAAUUAAUAAAAUAACUAGAAACACCAGUCAUUCAUAGCACCUUGUAAAAUAGUAAGACAUCUUUAUAAACGAUCGUACAUAUCAGUAUAUCGUAAAACUCAUCAAUACAGUAUCCUUGUGAGUUCUCGUAAGUCCUUUAAUAGAAUUCAUGUAUUCAUAACCUUUUUAAUGGACAUGCUAGUCGCUGGACAGUAUAACAUGGCGGAACGUCUUCCGUGAUGGGCAGGUGCCCAUAACAUAGAGCAGGUGCUCGACAUAUUUAUCAUGGGUGCAUGCAUUGCAUGACCGAAUAGUACCAGACGGAUUAGGUCUUUCACUAUUAUUUAUCAUGUUGUAUAACUUUUAAUAAGUUAUUUAUAGAUUAUUAACAUAUUUUUGUGAGAUUCAAAGAUCAAUAGAAUAUCGUAUAUUUGUAAAAUCAUUCAUAUAAAAUCAUAUGACUGAAAUACAUCAAUAAAUGCAAGUCAUUAAAAUAUAUCCAAAGAUAUAAAUACUUUUAAAUGUGACAUCAUACUUUAAUAAACACAUUUCGAAAGGAACUGCAGGUACUAGCAAUAGCAAUAGUCAAUAAACAUGCUUUCAUACUAGACCAUGUUUACGUUAUCUAUAUGAGGGUGGGAUCAUAUAUCAUAUCUUUUGCACAUAACAUGCUUUUAAACCAUAAUAUGUUAAUCAUAUCAUAAAAGCAUAUCACACAUACGGGACUAAACAUAGUUGCUAGACAUAAUAGUUACCUCUUUCGAUCAUCCUUAAUCAUCUCACUUAUUCUCCAAUAAUCAUCAUCCGAACUAUUUAGCCUCCAUCAUUAAUUCCUUAUUGCCAUCACUCUCAACCAUACCCGUAAUAAUAAUACUCAUUAGUAAUUUACUAAUUUAAAACCUUUGAUAAAACAAAUAUAAACUUACUUUUAGAAAACAAAACAAGUAUUACCUCAUUUAGAGUAAAAUAAGCACUAUUUUAAAAAUAGAUACUACAACUAUUCAUAUUAAUAGAGAAAAAGGAUUAAAAAAAUAUAGGUAUUUUAAAUAUUCAAAGCUUUUGUUAAAUAAUCUAGCAAAAUGUUAUGAAAUAUUUGUGGAUAUCCAUUAUCCUCCUUGUAUCAUUCCGGAAUAUUCUAGAUCGGGUUUAUUGUUAUCUAAACAAACCCUAGUUAUAUUGUAUGUAUAUAUAUCCCCACUCUAUGGAAUAAUAGAGACUGAUUUAUUCUAUUCCUAAUUCAGCACCAUUGCUCUCAUUGAUUUCAAUAUCAAUUGAAGCAUCAUAAAUUGACUUAUCUCGAACGACAAUCAAAGUAACUCCCAACAUACUCUCAAACGUUUCCCUAAUACUACUACCUCUUGAUUUCACGAACAUCAACCAGAAAAAUAAUUUCCCAAACAGACCAUUGCUCUGCCGAUACCACCGAUCCCUGCUGCCACCGUCGGUCAGCCGUACGUCGGAGAGGACUCAAUAGCGUAAGCUGCCUGCUGCCACCGUUCACCGCUCCGGCCUCCCGUGCUCGGUGCUCCACUGCUCCGUCAUCCACCCAUAAAAUAUUCUGGGGCUUUAUAGUGAAUUAUGUCAAACCUUGCAACACUCGAAUUUGUUGCUCUUGAUAUUACUGGAAACAACUAUCUUGGGUGUUAGAUGCUGAAAUACAUUUAGAUGCAAAGUGACUUGGUGAUACUAUUAAAGAAUACAACACUGCAACAAGCCAAAAUAAGGCUAAAGCUAUGAUAUUCCUUCGCCAUCACCUUCAUGAAUGCCUUAAGACUGAGUACUUGACUGUUAUAGACCCACAAGUCCUUUGGAGUAAUCUAAAGGAAAGGUAUGACCACCAGAAAACUGUGAUAUUACCAAAAGCUCGUUAUGACUAGUUACAUUUAAGAUUACAAGACUUUAAGUCUGUGAGUGAAUACAACUCACCCAUUUUUAGAAUUACAUCACAAUUGAAAUUAUGUGGAGAGAAAAUCAUGGAUGCAGAAAUGUUAGAAAAAAACAUACUCUACUUUUCAUGCAAACAAUGUUGUCCUGCAGACACAAUACCGUGAAAAGGGUUUUACAAAAUAUUCUGAA